UAACGCGUGAGGAACCUGCCUCAAAGAGGGGGACAACAGUUGGAAACGACUGCUAAUACCGCAUAAGCCCACGGCUCGGCAUCGAGCAGAGGGAAAAGGAGUGAUCCGCUUUGAGAUGGCCUCGCGUCCGAUUAGCUAGUUGGUGAGGUAACGGCCCACCAAGGCGACGAUCGGUAGCCGGACUGAGAGGUUGAACGGCCACAUUGGGACUGAGACACGGCCCAGACUCCUACGGGAGGCAGCAGUGGGGAAUAUUGCACAAUGGGGGAAACCCUGAUGCAGCGACGCCGCGUGGAGGAAGAAGGUCUUCGGAUUGUAAACUCCUGUUGUUGAGGUAGAUAAUGACGGUACUCGACAAGGAAGUGACGGCUAACUACGUGCCAGCAGCCGCGGUAAAACGUAGGUCACAAGCGUUGUCCGGAAUUACUGGGUGUAAAGGGAGCGCAGGCGGGAGAACAAGUUGGAAGUGAAAUCCAUGGGCUCAACCCAUGAACUGCUUUCAAAACUGUUUUUCUUGAGUAGUGCAGAGGUAGGCGGAAUUCCCGGUGUAGCGGUGGAAUGCGUAGAUAUCGGGAGGAACACCAGUGGCGAAGGCGGCCUACUGGACACCAACUGACGCUGAGGCUCGAAAGUGUGGGUAGCAAACAGGAUUAGAUACCCUGGUAGUCCACACCGUAAACGAUGAUUACUAGGUGU
rnacentral:rRNA from 1 species